rnacentral:sRNA from 2 species
UAAAAAGACAUCUAGGGUUCCGGCUGCAUCGCAGUGACUGGUCCGAGAGUUGUCAACCUCUUAUGAGGUCACACGGCGGGACAAAAGCCCGGGAGAA